rnacentral:rRNA from 1 species
CUUUACGGCCACACCGGCCUGAGUACGCCUGAUCUCGUCCGAUCUCGGAAGCUAAGCAGGGUCGGGCCUGGUUAGUACUUGGAUGGGAGACCGCCUGGGAAUACCAGGUGCUGUAAGCU